UAUUAGAAUCCCAUUGGAUAGGCGGAGAAGCCGGCAGCACUGCGGGAAUACCAGUGCCAGAGAAAAGGUUAGUAAAAUUAUUUUUGUUAUUUGUUUUAUUGUAGUUAGCGGGUCGUCGGGACUUACUAUAGACUAGAGCAGUACAGCGUUAGAAAUACAGGUUUGUAUUCCUUAACGCUAUAAUUUUCCUUUUAACUUACCUUAAAU